CUGGGACUUGUGAGUGUCAAGAAACAAUUACAUAUUAUUUCCUCGUCACUUACCUCUUAGUUGCUGGAGUUCCAUAUUCAAACUUUCAAUGUUACUUUCACAGAACUUGAGAUCCUCGAGGGUCUCUGCUCUUGAUGAUUCAUCCUGCUUCUCCUCCAGCAUGAGGUUUAGCUCUUCUUGAGCUCUACUGUACAUAUCCAAGUCCCGCUCCAUUUCCUCAAUCCUCACCAGCACUAAGGGGCAUGGGGAGGUCUGGUCCAGACUCCUUCCCAUAUGACCAGGGCCCUCCUUUUCUAAGGUCUCACAGGCAGGACGGUGUCGAGAUAGGAGCUUGGGGGAUACCACAUUCGUUCUCUGCUGUGCUGAGGGAGGCAGGGGAGCUGGGCGAGAGGGUCGCACCACCAAGGGUGGUGCAGGUUUUAGGUUCUGGUCAACCAGCAAAUGGGGAGAAGUGGAUACCGGAGUACAGGGACGAGGUGGCGGUGGCCUUAGGGCCUUUCUCCUUUCCGGCAGCUCCUGCUCGGUGAUUAACUUUGAGGAACCUCGGACAAUAUCCUUCUCAGAGUUAAAGUCCAUGAUUGAAAAGUGGCGUAAAAUUUUAUCUGGCUCUGUGCCGGGCCCUGCCAAGCUCUUCUCAAACUCGAUCAGCUGUUGUGUCAGCUUCGAGUCCAGGUCAGUGCUGCCGUCUCCCUGUGAAUGUGUUGCUGCUUCCAUAACAAGCCCUUGGGCUUGCGGACCAGGCUUCAUCUCCAAUCUCUCUGAGACGGAGUAAACACUGGACGUGUGGUGCUUUUUAGUAUAACUUGCUAGGUCGUGGAGCUGAGGACUCGAUUGGCUGGGUUUGACUACCCUUGAAGCUGAAACAGAAGAGCCCCUGUAAAGAGGGAGCACUGGCUUCUGAAGAGUUUUUAGCUGGGAAUACAUUCUUUUGGGAGGUAGGCUGGCAUAGUCUCUAGUCCUUGCUUCUAGGGGAAGAAGGUCAGGGUACUGUUCUGAGUGCGGGUGGCUCCCUCCCACUGUAGAAUAAUACUGGCUUUUCUGCAAGUUGGGAUGAAAAGGGACCUGAGGUUGGGAGGAAAUACCAUUGACUACUUCUGUAGGGUCAGAUGUGGGAGAGUCUGCGGCAAGAGGCAUUUCCCACUCCAAGCCUGGGCUUCUCGGGGCCCCUCCUGCGGUGUCCUCGUCCUGAUAAGAGUUUCUGUCUGCGUCAUACUCUGAAGUCAGAUGACCGAGGGGAGAAGUGGGUGCUUCAGAAAUAAUGCAGUCAGGCUCCUCGGCCUCAUGGUCACUGGUUUCAUGUCUUUGUUCCUCUACUCCUAAGGAAUUUUCCAAACAAUCCAAAGAAGUUUCCGGGAUCCUGGCAAGGCUGCCUUCCUGGGGCAGAGACAUGGUUUCCUCCACCCGUGUGUCAGGACAUAAUUUCACAAACCGGUAAGGAAAGAUGCCUGUCCUGCCCUUCAGGGAUCCUUCCAGCCAGCCAUCUUCCAAGGUCGCCAGAAUUCGGAUUUUAUCCCCGACCUCGAAAUCCAGCUCAUUUGGCUCCAGGGCUUGGAAUCUGUACAGGGCGACCCCAUAGGUCCCUGGCUCCUCUUCAUCCUCAUCCGGCCCUAUCUCUUCUUCUCCUACAGGGGUAUCUACUUCACCAUUAACAAUGCAGUCAUCUUGAUUUCCAGAACUUACUGACUCAUCCACAGUCCUCAGGGGCCCCAACAGCUCUACAAAACCUUCUGGAAAAAUGCCUCUUCGGCCCUCUAACUCCCCUUCAAACCAGCCUGGUUCAGGAACUCCAAUAAUGGUGAUCACAUCCCCUUCCCUGAAGUCCAGCUCUUCAUCCAGCUGAGCAGAAAGCCCCAUUAGGGCCCGGGCUUGUCCCAUGGAAUAUUCCGGAAUCUGAAACAGGGCGCUCUGGGAGUGCCACUGCCGGCUCUGUGAGGAGAGGCAGAGCUCGCGGACACAUGAAGACGGGAAGAAGCCCCGUGCGCCCCAGCAACUUCGGCCCUGCAGCCAGCCUGCAGUGGGAAUGCCAUCGAGAAUCACCAGAGCUUACCUCGAUGGAGGGGAAGAUUAUCCAAUUCUUGGGAUGUGAAUUCACAAAUGCACACAAACAGCCUCUCUCCCUCUUUUAGACUGGGAAUGGUCACAAUUUCCACAAAACUGCUGGGGAAUUGUCCUGAAAA
rnacentral:lncRNA from 1 species